CAAGACUUUCUAGGAACUAUCUAAGAUAUUUCCUGGAUAGAUCUUGGAACCCCGGAAAUGUUAGUGAUUGAGAAUUCUUCAGAGGACUAACUACUGAUUCCUGCAUAAACUUGGUUUGUGAUCAUGUGCAAAGCACAACAUCAGAGGAAAGAAGGAGGCUCCUAGCUUUUAUAUGCUUAUGGAAGAGUUUUCAGACACUGUUCAAGGGGACACAUGGUGGAAUAAGGCAGCUAAUGCUCUUCUAUAGA